CCUACGGGAGGCAGCAGUGAGGAAUAUUGGUCAAUGGCCGGAAGACUGAACCAGCCAAGUAGCGUGAAGGAUGACGGCCCUAUGGGUUGUAAACUGCUUUUGUCAGGGAGCAAAAGGCGGGACGGGUCCUGCUGUGAGAGUACCUGAAGAAAAAGCAUCGGCUAACUCCGUGCCAGCAGCCGCGGUAAUACGGAGGAUGCGAGCGUUAUCCGGAUUUAUUGGGUUUAAAGGGUGCGCAGGCGGGGCUGUAAGUCAGCGGUAAAAUAGCGGGGCUCAACCCCGCCACGCCGUUGAAACUGGGGUCCUGGAGUGCGCGAGAGGUAUGCGGAAUGCGUGGUGUAGCGGUGAAAUGCAUAGAUAUCGCGCAGAACUCCGAUUGCGAAGGCAGCCUACCGGCGCGCAACUGACGCUCAUGCACGAAAGCGUGGGUAUCGAACAGGAUUAGAUACCCGUGUAGUC
rnacentral:rRNA from 1 species